AUGUUUCCUUUUAUCCUCCCCCUCUCAUCAGAGACAUCCCACUGUGCACUGCAUGGAGCUACCCCUGAAGUGGAAAUGCUCCCAGCCAUUACAAAAGGUUCAGCUCGUUUACCAGAAUGGAAUAAUUCCUAUUUUCACUUAAAAUUUCAGAAAAAAAUGUGGACAACUUUAAGGCAGCACAAUGAUAUACCAUGAUAUUACCAUCCUGUCAAUAGAGGAAGAUAGAUCAACAUGGAUGACACCAUCUUGCUGAAAUGGAUGAGAGCAAGCACACGCUUUUUGGCUAAUAAGUACGAACUGAAACUUUGGAAAUAACAAGUAAAAUCCCUAAUGUAUGAAACUUAAACUUGACAUAAAAUCUAAUGUUCGCUUGCUUAUAAUUUUCAGAGUUGUAUUGUAUGCCUAUGUGUCUAUAAGGACAACAGUCUGUGAUAGCAUGUAAAAAUUUAAAAUAUUUUUUUAAUCAAGGAAAAUGUCCUGUUCUUGUUCUUGAAUUCUUACAAUAUUUUACUCAGAAAUUUGUACGGAAAGGAUUUGUUAUCUGUCAUUUUUGUCAGUAAAAACCAUUCUUCUAAAACCAAGAGCUGCUUCUUUCUUUUAUUUCCUUUUUGCUUGUUUAUUUUGCAUGUGUUGUUCUGCUUUAGAGGAUGUCACGGUUCUUUAUGAUUUUUUUAAGUUAAUUCAUUUAAAUUCUUUUGCACUUUUCUUUCAGAUGGAUAGUUUAGUAAUCAGCGCUCAUAAUGGCAAUAUGUGUUCUUUUUCAAAAUCUGGCAACCUCUGGGUUUACAUCAAGGCCCUAAAAGACUCUAAAAGUCCUUAAUGCCUUUAAAAAACACUGGAAGUUAUUUUCAGAAUUUCCAGGGAUCUGAUCUUACAUCUUGAUUUGUAGAAUAAUUCCAGGUAGAUGGUUCCAUGAGUCUUACAAGUCAGGUAGUGAGUUUGAAGUAGAAACUUUUAUAGUAGGACAUAACAAUAUUAAGUCCAUCCUUGUCAUUAUAGAUUUCUCAAGAGAAUUGAAUGUUCUGUGGUAGACAUAUUGUUGAAUAUUAUUUGAAUCCAUUUUUUCUGAAUGACUUUGCUUCUUUCUUUGCAGCUACAAAGCAAAAUUUAAUCUGUGGAUCUUAUGGCACAAAAAUAUCUUAUGUAAGGUUGUCAGAUUU
rnacentral:lncRNA from 1 species